AAACUCUGGUUUCUCUUCAGAUCGUAUAAAUCUUUCGCCUUUUACCAAAGAUUUCCGUGGAGAGGAACAUUUAUGAGUUUUCAUGGAUGUUUGGAUGCUACUUAUUACCAUAUCU